GCGCCCAUGAUGUAACGGCGGCCUGCCGCUCUGCCAGAGCGGUCGUGCGGGUUCGACUCCCGCUGGGCGCU
rnacentral:tRNA from 1 species